UGAGUGGUGCAUGCGCGUCAGUGCAAGGAUCCCCUAGCGUAUUCUAAGAAGAGAUCAUCCCUCGGUGCUGCGUGGUAGAGAGUUGCGUAUAGCUGUAGAGGAGAGUGAGGAGAGGAGAAGCGUUCUGUGUAGAGGGGACACCGGGAAUGCGUAAUCAAUGAGGGUGCAAGCAAUAUUUAUAUAGAAGGCGGAUUCCAAACGUUGAAACACCCUCAUAACGGAAGGGUGAUAAAGGGGGGGACAAGCGCUCGGUUCCGAGGGAGAACGCUUUCCCUCAUUUGUUUCUACUAAGAAGGAGCGACCGAAUCCCUUGCAAUCAUGGGGAACCGGGGGAUGGAAGACCUUAUUCCUCUUGUGAAUAAAAUGCAAGAUGCCUUCUCGGCUAUCGGUCAAAAUUCCCAGUUGGAUCUACCUCAAAUCGCUGUGGUCGGCGGGCAGAGUGCAGGGAAAAGCUCGGUGUUGGAGAACUUCGUUGGGAAAGAUUUCCUUCCCCGUGGCUCUGGCAUCGUCACCCGCCGUCCCUUGGUCCUCCAGCUGAUCAACUGUCCCACAGAAUAUGCAGAGUUCCUUCACUGUAAGGGGAAGAAGUUCACAGACUUCGAUGAGGUUCGUGGGGAGAUUGAGGCGGAGACGGACCGCAUCACUGGGCAGAAUAAGGGAAUCUCACCUGUGCCAAUAAAUCUCAGGGUCUACUCCCCGCAUGUCCUGAAUCUGACUCUGGUGGACUUGCCGGGGAUGACCAAGGUCCCAGUAGGGGACCAGCCUGCGGACAUUGAGCAGCAGAUCAGAGACAUGUUAUAUCAGUUUGUGACCAAGGACAACUGUCUGCUACUGGCUGUUUCCCCGGCCAACUCUGAUCUGGCCAACUCAGAUGCCCUGAAGAUUGCCAAAGAAGUGGACCCACAGGGUCAGCGAACCAUUGGUGUGAUCACCAAGCUGGAUCUGAUGGAUGAGGGGACUGACGCCAGAGAAAUUCUGGAAAAUAAGCUGCUCCCACUGCGAAGAGGUUACAUUGGUGUGGUGAACAGGAGUCAGAAGGACAUAGAUGGGAAGAAGGACAUCACAGCGGCCAUGGCUGCAGAGAGGAAGUUCUUCCUGACCCAUCCUGGAUACAGACACCUGGCUGAACGCAUGGGCACCCCCUACCUACAGAAAACACUCAACCAGCAACUGACCAAUCACAUCCGGGACACUCUGCCGGGGCUGCGGGCCAAGCUGCAGAGCCAGCUGCUGUCUAUAGAGAAGGAGGUGGAGGAGUACAAGAACUUCAGACCUGACGACCCCUCCCGCAAGACCAAGGCCCUGUUGCAGAUGGUGCAGCAGUUCUCAGUGGACUUUGAGAAGCGUAUCGAGGGCUCUGGGGACCAGAUCGACACAGCAGAGCUGUCAGGCGGAGCCAAGAUCAACCGCAUCUUCCACGAGCGAUUCCCCUUCGAGCUGGUCAAGAUGGAGUUUAACGAAAAGGAGCUUCGCAAGGAGAUCAGCUACGCCAUUAAGAACAUCCACGGCAUUAGAACUGGCCUCUUCACCCCGGACAUGGCCUUUGAGACCAUUGUGAAAAGGCAGAUCGGCAAGAUCAAAGAGCCCUGCCAGAAAUGUGUGGACAUGGUCAUUUCUGAGCUAGUCAAUACCGUUAGGCAGUGUACUCAGAAGCUGGCUCAGUACCCCAUGCUGAGGGAGGAGAUGGACAAGAUUGUCACCCAGCAUAUCCGAGACCGCGAGAGUCGCACCAAGGACCAGGUGAUGCUGCUGAUUGACAUUGAGCUGGCCUACAUGAACACCAACCAUGAGGACUUCAUUGGCUUUGCCAAUGCUCAGCAGAGGAGCAGCCAGGUGGCCCAGAAGAAGCAACCUGGCAACAAGCAGGAUGAAAUCAUGCCGGAGAGAGGAGCGGUUAAUGAUCGGUUUAAGGUGAUCAGGAAGGGCUGGCUGACCAUCAACAACAUUGGCAUCAUGAAGGGAGGAGCCAAGGAGUACUGGUUCGUCCUGACCGCUGAGUCCCUGUCCUGGUACAAGGAUGAUGAGGAGAAAGAGAAGAAGUACAUGCUCCAGGUGGACAACCUGAGGCUGAGGGAUGUGGAGAAGAGCUUCAUGUCGAGCAAGCAGAUCUUUGCCCUGUUCAACACUGAGCAAAGGAAUGUGUAUAAGGACUACCGUCAGCUGGAGUUGGCCUGCGAGACUCAGGACGACAUAGAUGGGUGGAAGGCCUCCUUCCUUAGAGCCGGGGUGUAUCCUGAACGCGUCACGGAAAAGGAGGGCAAGCAGAGUGAAAGUGGAGAUGGAGAGAACGGCUCAGAUAACUUCAUGCACUCCAUAGACCCCCAGCUGGAGAGGCAGGUUGAGACCAUCCGCAACCUGGUGGACUCCUACAUGGCCAUUGUCAACAAGACCAUCAGGGACCUCAUGCCCAAGACCAUCAUGUAUCUCAUGAUCAACAACACCAAGGAGUUCAUCAACGCGGAGCUGCUGGCCAACCUGUACCACUCUGGGGACCAGAACAGCCUGAUGGAGGAGUCCCAGGAGCAGGCCCAUCACCGCGACGAGAUGCUCCGCAUGUACCAUGCCCUGAGGGAGGCCCUAAACAUCAUCGGAGACAUCAGCACUACCACUGUCACCACCGCCAUGCCGCCGCCUGUAGACGACUCCUGGCUGAGGCCGGGGGGAAACAACUCUGGGGGCAGGUCCCCAGCCAGCAGUCCCACUCCGAACAGAAGGGCUCCCCCAGGUCCCCCUGGUCGCCCUGUCUCCCGUGGCUCAGCCCCUGGCCUCCCUCCUGGCCCCCCUGUCCCCUCUCGCCCAGGGGCCUCCCCGGACCCUUUCGGUGGGCCCCCCCCAUCAGUCCCCUCCCGGCCUAACCGCGCACCCCCCGGUGUGCCCAGGGGGAUGUGAAGACGCCAGGAGGAUGGAUGGAGAAUCACUAUCAGUGACCAAUGAGGACUAACGCUUCUGCCGAAGACCCCCGUCCUCACCAACCCACUAGACUACUGAGCCCCCUUCCCCUCCGACUCACCACCUACCCCACGGCAGAGAGACCAAGGACUGCAGAGCAACCUUCCUUACCUAGACCUGACCCUUCUUUCUCCUCUCCCUUCUCUACUAGAUGACACAGUCACGUCACCCACGCACAAACCCACAGACAGACAGACACAUUGUAUACCCCGAAUACAGAGAAAUGCAUUCACCCUCCACUGUAUAUUAAGGACCAUUGUAGAUAAGACUUCCAACACACUCAGACAUGUGUAAAUAGUCACACACUUAAACGGACAGGGCAGUGUAUGCGUGGGUGGAUUCAGCAAAUAUGGAUGAGAGGGUUAAGGAACGCUAUGCUGAAAUAUUUUUUCUUUCUCACCCUCCCCUUCAGAUGGCUAUUUCUGGUUGCUGACUUUCUUUCUUCCUCUCAUAUCUGAAUGAUAUUUUUUUCUCUGAUAAUUUGGGAUAUUGAUAAUGAUCUUUUUUUGUUCUGGUUGACAUGUUAUUCUGUGUUGAAUCUCUCUCGGGAGUAGAUGCAUUAUCCAUCUAUCUAGGAAAGUGGAGUGGAUCAGAAGGGAUAACUGCAUCUGAACAACAGCUUUCUUUUUGUUGUCUUCUGCUAUGAUCAUCAUGAUCCAUAUUGGUCCCUAAAGUCACAGGCUCGGACAAACCUGACAUAAAUGGGCAAGGGCCCUUUUAGUCGGAAAAACACCCAAAGAGAAAAUAUAUACAUUAAUGGUACUGACUCAUGUGUCACAAUGUGGUAUCUAUCUCUGUGAUUUCUAUGUAUUAUUUAUGAUACACUGAUUCAUGUGUCCUAUUAUAUCUAACAUCACGACAGUGUUUCCUCGCCUCUGAGUUUGGGGACAUUUUCUCCCGUUAUGUUUCAUUCACUUGUUCAUCCUUCACUUAAUCUGGCUUCAUUACGUCCUCUUUCCUAUCUGUUUCUACUUGACUCUUUUUAUUGUAUAGCGGUCCAAGCAAGGGUGGGCCCUCUCACCCGAGAGCCCCCUGCCUCCUUUGGAAUCCUAGAAGCCCCCUUUUUUUCCCCCUUUGGGACCCCCUGACACCCAUCUCUUCUCUAACACUCCCCCAUUUCCACCACUCAGCCCCUACAUGUGAAUCCACACUAUCCUUCACACACCAAUCAGAGAUGUCAGCAGCUCUUCACAACAGCCUCCCGCAAAGUAAGGGUGGAGGGGGGAGGAAGAGAGAGGAAAUAAAUAAACGCGAACCCCGCCCUCUCGGAGUGGCCAUACCAUUCCUGUUCAUGGAUAGAAAAACAAAAUAUCUCUUCCUCCUCUUCAGUAGGACUGAGGGUGAGGAGAACAUGUGGAACGUUCUGCAUCUGUGUCCAUGUACUACCUUCAGUAGCCACCAGGCCUUGCGUCACUGUGAAGGCCCAUUCUUAUGUGAUGUGAUAACCAUGAUGAUGAUGUAUUGCUGUGUCGGCAAUGAUACAACGAUUGUUCAGGUGUUCAGACUGUGAACUGGUCACAGGAGGUUGGUGGCACCUUAAUUGGGGAGGACAGGCAAGGACAUGGUUUCCAUGGGUUUGAUGCCAUUCCAUUCGCUCCGUUGAUCACUAUGAGCCGUCCUCUCCUCAGCAGCCUCCUGUGGAUCUGGUGUAGAUCGGUGUAAAAUCCUCCUCGACCUGCCACGAGUGCUGGGGGGGUUGUGAACUAGAGGGUCUCCUGCUAAAACCUGUGGCCCAACGUUGAGCAGUCAUCCGUCUGUCUCUUCUCCUCCUCUCCCACUUGUCAAUGAACCACUUCCCCACUAGUGAAACUCAGUACCUUAGCGAGGCGGGAUCUAAAUAGAAAGUGCAAUAUGUUCUUAUUGGACAGCUUAAUGAGAGCUGUCCACCAAUCACACCAGACUCAGAAUAGAUGCUCAGCCUGAGAGGAGGCAAGGAGACAGACAAGGCCCUAACGGUUCGUCGCAACACUGUCACAUGGCAUCCUUUCUCCUUUCCUCACAAGGAAAGCUCAAACAUUGAAGUUGUUUUCAGGAAGACCAUUUAUAAGUGUUGCCAGUCCAAGUUGAGAUUUUUUUGACCCUGUGUUUACAAAGAGCAGUGACCGUAACAGAACGUGUGUUAGAUAUCAUUGGAACUGUGUAAUACGUGUUGGGGCGGGGGACACUGAUUUUGGCAUGGCUUAUCAACUUUUUUCAUUUUCUGUUCUUUCCUUUUCCCUGUCUUCCCUCUCUCAGUGGUCAAGGGGGUGAGUGAAGACGUCAGGUUUAAAACCACCAACAACCCAAUCAGUGAUGGUCUAUAUACACACACACACCUACCUAUACAGUGCACCUCUCCCGCUCCCAUGUCACUCAUGCGUUCCAUUGCUGUUUAAGAGAUGUGAGUUGACCCCCCUUUCCACCAGUGGACUCUGUAGUUUGUAUUUUUGACCCCGUUGGUAAUAAUAGUACAUGGGCUCAUUAACCUACCCACAAACCCGUUUCAGUAUCCAUAGCGUACUCACCUCAUACACACCUACCCCUCUUCACAACACCCUUGAGUCUUAGCAACAGCCAAUAAAUAAAGCUAUUAUAAAAUUAAUUAUUAAGAGUACAUUUUAUCAUGGACAUAUCUUACUUGUGUAAUGUAUCCUGUGUGGUGCAUCGUCUGAAACUGUGUUCCACUUGUGUAGACGUUAGUUGACAUUGUAUGAAUACUGAAUAUUAAAUUAUUACAAAUAAGUGACUGUGGUGUACAAUGAAACAUGACAAAAAUAAAGACAAAUAAGUGAAUCAUGUUAUAUGAAAUCCUUGGCUAUGGAUGUUGAGUAUUGGCAGGGUGUUUGAUUAGUAGUAUGUAGAAUAAUUUGUCGCUUGUCUCUCGGUCUCUGUCCGGAAAGGAAAUGGGGGGGGCAGAGUAAAUAUUUGUAUUCUGUCCUGCUGUGACGACUUUGUCCUGUAUCUUAUCUUACUGCUGUCGGUGGAAUGUGUCUGUCCAACAGGACUGCUUUGUCAAGACAUUAAAAGUCAGCGUACUGUUA